GUGGUGGCGACAGCAGGGCUGAGUCCGGCAGCCGGGCUGGGACAGGUUGGGACUGCUGGGACCCAGGACGGUCGAGGAGGCACGAGUGGAAGGUGUGGGACGGGCAGAAAUCCUGACCGACCGGCUCCAGGCACCUGCCCUGUGUGUAUCCCAACUCCACCCUGGCACUGGAGGAACACCAGGGAUGCCACUGAGGGAACCCUAAGGCAAAGAGGAGGCCACUGAAGAGAAGACAGUGAAAACAGGGUUGGCAAGAAGACACAUGGAAACCGACUAGAGGAGAGGCUGAACUUGGUGAUGCAUCAGGCAGGGAGGGGCCUUGGGGAAUGGGGACUGAGACUCCAGGACCUGGCAGGGAGCUCUCCACACCCACAGUGACCUUUCCCUGUCUAGCUCCAAACCCCUGACCUGGCAGAGGGUCUGUCCCCACCUCUAACACCCGCAAAGGACACACAAGUAAAAAUCAAAAUCCCAGGCAGGCAGGUCAGCCAAAGGGCUUUGUUGAGGGGCUGUAUGUAUCACCAUGAACAUGGGAAGGGGCAGGGCCCUAAGGGACCGGAUGUGUGUGAACAUUUCCCAGGGAACCAGAAAAGUACCUUGUCAGUC